UCUGAAAUAGCUCAGUUGGUGGAGCGUCAGGGUAUAAAUUGGAAGGUUCUUGGUUCGAUCCCGGGUUCCGGCA
rnacentral:tRNA from 1 species